GAUGAACGCUGGCGGCGUGCCUAAUACAUGCAAGUCGAGCGAACGGACGAGAAGCUUGCUUCUCUGAUGUUAGCGGCGGACGGGUGAGUAACACGUGGAUAACCUACCUAUAAGACUGGGAUAACUUCGGGAAACCGGAGCUAAUACCGGAUAAUAUUUUGAACCGCAUGGUUCAAAAGUGAAAGACGGUCUUGCUGUCACUUAUAGAUGGAUCCGCGCUGCAUUAGCUAGUUGGUAAGGUAACGGCUUACCAAGGCAACGAUGCAUAGCCGACCUGAGAGGGUGAUCGGCCACACUGGAACUGAGACACGGUCCAGACUCCUACGGGAGGCAGCAGUAGGGAAUCUUCCGCAAUGGGCGAAAGCCUGACGGAGCAACGCCGCGUGAGUGAUGAAGGUCUUCGGAUCGUAAAACUCUGUUAUUAGGGAAGAACAUAUGUGUAAGUAACUGUGCACAUCUUGACGGUACCUAAUCAGAAAGCCACGGCUAACUACGUGCCAGCAGCCGCGGUAAUACGUAGGUGGCAAGCGUUAUCCGGAAUUAUUGGGCGUAAAGCGCGCGUAGGCGGUUUUUUAAGUCUGAUGUGAAAGCCCACGGCUCAACCGUGGAGGGUCAUUGGAAACUGGAAAACUUGAGUGCAGAAGAGGAAAGUGGAAUUCCAUGUGUAGCGGUGAAAUGCGCAGAGAUAUGGAGGAACACCAGUGGCGAAGGCGACUUUCUGGUCUGUAACUGACGCUGAUGUGCGAAAGCGUGGGGAUCAAACAGGAUUAGAUACCCUGGUAGUCCACGCCGUAAACGAUGAGUGCUAAGUGUUAGGGGGUUUCCGCCCCUUAGUGCUGCAGCUAACGCAUUAAGCACUCCGCCUGGGGAGUACGACCGCAAGGUUGAAACUCAAAGGAAUUGACGGGGACCCGCACAAGCGGUGGAGCAUGUGGUUUAAUUCGAAGCAACGCGAAGAACCUUACCAAAUCUUGACAUCCUUUGACAACUCUAGAGAUAGAGCCUUCCUCUUCGGGGGACAAAGUGACAGGUGGUGCAUGGUUGUCGUCAGCUCGUGUCGUGAGAUGUUGGGUUAAGUCCCGCAACGAGCGCAACCCUUAAGCUUAGUUGCCAUCAUUAAGUUGGGCACUCUAAGUUGACUGCCGGUGACAAACCGGAGGAAGGUGGGGAUGACGUCAAAUCAUCAUGCCCCUUAUGAUUUGGGCUACACACGUGCUACAAUGGACAAUACAAAGGGCAGCGAAACCGCGAGGUCAAGCAAAUCCCAUAAAGUUGUUCUCAGUUCGGACUGUAGUCUGCAACUCGACUACAUGAAGCUGGAAUCGCUAGUAAUCGUAGAUCAGCAUGCUACGGUGAAUACGUUCCCGGGUCU
rnacentral:rRNA from 1 species